rnacentral:rRNA from 1 species
GUUAGAUGCGAUGGGGGGACGGAUCGCGGAAGGUUGUCCGGGUGUUGGACGUCCCGGUCGCUGCAUUGGAGAAGGCGCUUAGGCAAAUCCGGGCGCAGGAUUCAAGGGUGUGGCGCGAGCGACUUCGGUCGCGAAGCAAUUGGAAGUGGUUCCAAGAAAAGCCUCUAAGCUUCAGUCUAACGAUGACCGUACCGCAAACCGACACAGGUGGGCGAGAUGAGUAUUCUAAGGCGCUUGAGAGAACUCGGGAGAAGGAACUCGGCAAAUUGGUACCGUAACUUCGGGAUAAGGUACGCCCUUGUAGCUUGACUGGCCUGCGCCAGGAGGGUGAAGGGGUUGCAAUAAACUGGUGGCUGCGACUGUUUAAUAAAAACACAGCACUCUGCAAACACGAAAGUGGACGUAUAGGGUGUGACGCCUGCCCGGUGCCGGAAGAUUAAAUGAUGGGGUGCAAGCUCUUGAUUGAAGUCCCGGUAAACGGCGGCCGUAACUAUAACGGUCCUAAGGUAGCGAAAUUCCUUGUCGGGUAAGUUCCGACCUGCACGAAUGGCGUAACGAUGGCCACACUGUCUCCUCCCGAGACUCAGCGAAGUUGAAGUGUUUGUGAUGAUGCAAUCUACCCGCGGCUAGACGGAAAGACCCCAUGAACCUUUACUGUAGCUUUGCAUUGGACUUUGAACCGAUCUGUGUAGGAUAGGUGGGAGGCUAUGAAACCGGAACGCUAGUUUCGGUGGAGCCGUCCUUGAAAUACCACCCUGGUUUGUUUGAGGUUCUAACCUUGGUCCGUGAUCCGGAUCGGGGACAGUGCAUGGUAGGCAGUUUGACUGGGGCGGUCUCCUCCCAAAGGGUAACGGAGGAGUACGAAGGUACGCUAGGUACGGUCGGAAAUCGUGCUGAUAGUGCAAUGGCAUAAGCGUGCUUAACUGCGAGACCGACAAGUCGAGCAGGUGCGAAAGCAGGUCAUAGUGAUCCGGUGGUUCUGUAUGGAAGGGCCAUCGCUCAACGGAUAAAAGGUACUCUGGGGAUAACAGGCUGAUACCGCCCAAGAGUUCAUAUCGACGGCGGUGUUUGGCACCUCGAUGUCGGCUCAUCUCAUCCUGGGGCUGUAGCCGGUCCCAAGGGUAUGGCUGUUCGCCAUUUAAAGAGGUACGUGAGCUGGGUUUAAAACGUCGUGAGACAGUUUGGUCCCUAUCUGCCGUGGGCGUUGGAUAUUUGAAGGGGGCUGCUCCUAGUACGAGAGGACCGGAGUGGACGAACCUCUGGUGUACCGGUUGUGACGCCAGUCGCAUCGCCGGGUAGCUAUGUUCGGAAGAGAUAACCGCUGAAAGCAUCUAAGCGGGAAACUCGCCUUAAGAUGAGAUAUCCCUGGAGGCUUGACCUCCUUGAAGGGUCGUUCGAGACCAGGACGUUGAUAGGUCGGGUGUGUAAGCGCAGUAAUGCGUUCAGCUAACCGAUACUAAUUGCCCGUAAGGCUUGAUCCU